GCUCGACGCUCAUUGGUCCAAAGACGACCUGUUAACUAAUGUUAUGAUCUACUGGGUGUCUGGAUGUAUUACGUCUUCUGUGCGCUUGUACAAAGAGACCAUUCCAGUUUCCAGAUCGUUGAGCAAUUUCUUAAACACUGUGCCCGCCGGUUUGGCGGAUCUGCCGAACGAGUUGACGCGAGCACAGAAGAACUGGGCGUCCCAGCACUACACAGAUAUUGUCUCCUACACGACUUACCCAACAGGCGGCCACUUCGCUGCCUUCGAGGUACCAGACCUACUCGCCAAGGACUUGCGGCAAUUUGUGCAAAAAGUGGAACGGCGUCUUCUUAAUAAAUAAAAGUAAGGCCGUGUCCGGGCUUCCAGAGCUACGGCUAAGUCUAUUGUCUGCGCGUCUCCAUGCAUUCGCAAUGGAGCGAAGACCUAGACCUAGCCCUAGACAAGAGAUUUGGAUGCAGCUUAAUCUGUGAUGUGAAUGAUAGGCGAAGUCUUUGUCAUAGGCAUACUCGGAAAGCGGGGUGAUAUAUAUCCAGUAUGUGUUACCAUUUUCCAUAUCUACCAUUUUCCCCUGCUUAAAUGAACCAUGAACUAGAAAUAUUUUGAUAAAUUUUACCAAACCCUUGAAAUUGGAUCUUCAGGUUUCAAUUCACCUGAUUUUACAUAUUUGUUUAGCCAAUUUUAACCCAUAAUUUGGAGCUUUAUUAAUUUUUAAGCUAAUGCACAUUAACAUAUUCUGGAACAGAACCAUGAUGUCAAAUAAAGGCACUGAAUCUCGAUAUUGCACCGAUCUAUGCACAGAAAAUUUCUAGAUUUUUUUGAACACUGCUAUGGUAUAGAUUUCAUUGUCUUUGGAAAUUUAUUGCUUUGUAAGUAAAUGGCAAUAAGCCAGUAAUCAUCGUUUUGACAGGGAUGUUUCUCAGAUAUCAAAUUUUGAGUUCACAAUUUAAACAUGAAAACACGCUACCUGAACCACGUGUUCCUGGAUUUACAUCAAAGCAAAAGCGCCCUCACUUUUCCAUCAAUGCUUGGUCAAUUUGGAAUGUGCACCUUUCGGUUCACAUUACUCAAAAAGAUGCUAAACAGUCUUUAUACAUGGAGGAAGAGUGCAGAUAUGCACAAAAAGUGAUUCACAGAAAAAAAUCAUUUCCUGGAUCCUUUUAAUACGUAUAGAGUGUGCGCACUUACGUUCAAAAUAUUGACCAAUGAGAAACACGCUAACAAAACACAGUGGGCGCAGUUGCUGUAUGCAGACGCCGCUUAUACGGUAAUUUUAUCAUAUAUAGUUAUGCAUGCUUGGAAUAUUUUUUGUCUUACACUUUUAAACAUGUUUGAAUAAAAUGAUUAUUAAUGCUGAAUCGUGCAGAUUAUUACCCGUAAUUACCAGUUUGUCUUUGUACUUAAUAUGUCCAUGUUCUGAGUGACUCUUCACCACUCUGCAAAAAGCGACUUCGAAAUAUAUCGCUAAGUUACUGUAUUAAAAGGAUUCUGUCAACUCCAAU